rnacentral:rRNA from 1 species
AGUCGAACGCUUUUUCUUUCACCGGAGCUUGCUCCACCGAAAGAAAAAGAGUGGCGAACGGGUGAGUAACACGUGGGUAACCUGCCCAUCAGAAGGGGAUAACACUUGGAAACAGGUGCUAAUACCGUAUAACACUAUUUUCCGCAUGGAAGAAAGUUGAAAGGCGCUUUUGCGUCACUGAUGGAUGGACCCGCGGUGCAUUAGCUAGUUGGUGAGGUAACGGCUCACCAAGGCCACGAUGCAUAGCCGACCUGAGAGGGUGAUCGGCCACACUGGGACUGAGACACGGCCCAGACUCCUACGGGAGGCAGCAGUAGGGAAUCUUCGGCAAUGGACGAAAGUCUGACCGAGCAACGCCGCGUGAGUGAAGAAGGUUUUCGGAUCGUAAAACUCUGUUGUUAGAGAAGAACAAGGAUGAGAGUAGAACGUUCAUCCCUUGACGGUAUCUAACCAGAAAGCCACGGCUAACUACGUGCCAGCAGCCGCGGUAAUACGUAGGUGGCAAGCGUUGUCCGGAUUUAUUGGGCGUAAAGCGAGCGCAGGCGGUUUCUUAAGUCUGAUGUGAAAGCCCCCGGCUCAACCGGGGAGGGUCAUUGGAAACUGGGAGACUUGAGUGCAGAAGAGGAGAGUGGAAUUCCAUGUGUAGCGGUGAAAUGCGUAGAUAUAUGGAGGAACACCAGUGGCGAANNCGGCUCUCUGGUCUGUAACUGACGCUGAGGCUCGAAAGCGUGGGGAGCGAACAGGAUUAGAUACCCNGGNAGUCCACGCCNUAA